rfam:Mucilaginibacter mallensis strain MP1X4 genome assembly, chromosome: I
CUUGCAAAACGUUCUAUCGCUCACGGCCAAACCGCGAGAGGAAAGUCCGGGCAACAUAGAGUAUCCUGCUUCCUAACGGGAAGGCGCCGGCAGCCGGCGACAGCAAGUGCCACAGAGAAUAUACCGCCUGUGAUUUAUCAUGGGUAAGGGUGAAAACGUGAGGUAAGAGCUCACGGCUUUUCCGGGCGACCGGGAUCGCGGUAAACCUCAGGAGUUGAAAAACCAAAUAGGUCCUGAAUCGGAAGUUACUCGCUUUUGAUUGUUUGCCACUGGCAGAUGAUCGUCAGGAUGGGUAGGUUGCUUGAACCUGUCAGCAAUGGCAGGGCCAGAUUAAUGAUAGAAACCGUCCUUCAACCGACGGAACAGAACCCGGCUUAUAGCUUUGCUGCUGAA